AUUGAACGCUGGCGGAAUGCUUUACACAUGCAAGUCGAACGGUAACAGGCCGCAAGGUGCUGACGAGUGGCGAACGGGUGAGUAAUGCAUCGGAACGUGCCCAGUCGUGGGGGAUAACGCAGCGAAAGCUGCGCUAAUACCGCAUACGAUCUGCGGAUGAAAGCGGGGGACCUUCGGGCCUCGCGCGAUUGGAGCGGCCGAUGUCAAAUUAGGUAGUUGGUGGGGUAAAGGCCCACCAAGCCGACGAUCUGUAGUUGGUCUGAGAGGACGACCAGCCACACUGGGACUGAGACACGGCCCAGACUCCUACGGGAGGCAGCAGCGGGGAAUUUUGGACAAUGGGCGCAAGCCUGAUCCAGCAAUGCCGCGUGCAGGAAGAAGGCCUUCGGGUUGUAAACUGCUUUUGUACGGAACGAAACGGCUCUGGUUAAUACCCGGGGCUAAUGACGGUACCGUAAGAAUAAGCACCGGCUAACUACGUGCCAGCCGCCGCGGUAA
rnacentral:rRNA from 1 species